AAUCAUUUUGCUGGUGGAGGGUCUGGCCUCAAUAUUGAUGGCUACUGAUAGAUCAGAGUGUUGGUUGCUAAAGGCUGGGAGAUCUGAAAAGCACAC